rnacentral:rRNA from 1 species
UACGUAGGUGGCAAGCGUUAUCCGGAUUUACUGGGUGUAAAGGGCGCGUAGGCGGGGAUGCAAGUCAGAUGUGAAAUCUAUGGGCUUAACCCAUAAACUGCAUUUGAAACUGUGUCUCUUGAGUGUCGGAGAGGUAGAUGGAAUUCCUUGUGUAGCGGUGAAAUGCGUAGAUAUAAGGAAGAACACCAGUGGCGAAGGCGAUCUACUGGACGAUAACUGACGCUGAGGCGCGAAAGCGUGGGGAGCAAACAGGAUUAGAUACCCUGGUAGUCCACCCUGUAAACGAUGAAUACUAGGUGUGGGGGGACUGACCCCUUCCGUGCCGCAGUUAACACAAUAAGUAUUCCACCUGGGGAGUACGGCCGCAAGGUUGAA